GUCAUAGAGAAUAGUGGACAUGGCAUCUGCCCGGUAAGCGGAACACUGUGGGUUCGAUUCCCAUCCCUGGACA